AUGGGCGGCACCAUGGUGCUUCCGCCUGCUCUGCUCCCGCGCCGUAGCGCCGCCGCCGCCGAUCUGCACGCCUGCUCCUCCCGCGUGCGCGUGAACCCCGCCUUGAUGGCGAACCCCGCGGCUGCCAAGAGGCCAAAGCGUCCCGGAUCCGUGCACGACGUGCAGCCGCCGGCGAAGCGCGUACGCGGUGCCUGCUCGGGGGGCGAGCUCCAUGCCGUGGUCCCCGCCAACAUCAAGAACAGCAAGCUUCCGUGUCCCAGCAGCGGCAAGGAUCUGAAGAGUCCGACGUGCCUCCACCGUUCCGGGAUCAAGAACCAGGUCGCCGAAUCUCCGGCGAGCGCGACGCAAUCGAAGCCACCGAUCAGCAUGCGCCAACUGAUCGAGAAUGCUCGCCUCGCCAUGGAUUGGGCUCACCCUACCUCCGAAGAAGAGGUCAGCCGUCGACACGACAUCGAGCGCAGCCGAGCGGAGGCCCGGCGAAAGAUGGAGCAGAUGGCGGACACCGUGUAG
rnacentral:rRNA from 1 species